GGCCGCGUCGACGGGAGGCAGCAGUGGGGACGACCAGUCACACUGGGACUGAGACACGGUCCAGACUCCUACGGGAGGCAGCAGUGGGGAAUAUUGGACAAUGGGCGAAAGCCUGAUCCAGCCAUGCCGCGUGUGUGAAGAAGGUCUUCGGAUUGUAAAGCACUUUAAGUUGGGAGGAAGGGCAGUAAGUUAAUACCUUGCUGUUUUGACGUUACCGACAGAAUAAGCACCGGCUAACUUCGUGCCAGCAGCCGCGGUAAUACGAAGGGUGCAAGAGUAUCGAUAACUAUGGCUUUGCUAUCCGCUAAAGACUGCCCGCAGGAAUAGGUCGAAUGUGUUGCCAUUAUUUACCGCUAGUCAUCUUUAAUGUUGCUACGAGUUGCUAAAGUNUGCUGUUGAGUUGAGGUCGUGGUAUUUGUCGGCUGCGUGGAGUGUAUCGUACCCACAGCAGAUGUCGUCGUGUAGAAAGGGGUAUAGUGACAAUACUACUGUAGUCGUAAGGCGUACGUGUUCUAACGUUUUACCGUCGGACGUUAAACGG
rnacentral:rRNA from 1 species